rnacentral:lncRNA from 1 species
UUAAAAUGAAUUUCACACCCUUGUGCUAUUUCUCUGUAAUCAGUCAGCAAAUCCUUGGCAUAUGGACUGAUUUCAUCUCUCCAAUUCCUACAUUCCUCCUCACGAUCUUUCAGUAAUUUCAUUACCUUUCAAACAACGAAAAAUCCAUAAUUAACAAAAAUAUAACAUAAUUCUAACAAGAAAUAUCUUUGCCUACUUGGUAGC